rnacentral:lncRNA from 1 species
CGCCAGCUCCAACCAGGUCUAGAACCCAAACCUUCAACCCCUGAGCUUUCCUGCCUUCGAGUCCUCGGAGCUCUCCUGGAGGCUGAGCAGGCAACAGAGCCUGCUCCUCAGCUGGAUGUGGCCCGUGGGAGGUCUCUCAUCUGGGAAGUGGGAUGAUAGCGCCAACCUAGCUGGAUUGCUGUGACUGCCAGCACAAUGCCUUCUAAGGGUUCAAGAUGAGAUUACUUAGUCCCAGAUGGGUUAAGUAACUGGCCCAAGGUCACAGCGCUGAGUCUCGCUCUGUCACCCAGGCUGGAGUGCAAUGGCACAAUCUCAGCUCACUGCAACCUCUGCCUCCCGGGUUCAAGUGAUUCUCCUGCCUCAGACUCCUGAGUAGCUGGGAUUACAGGCACGCACCACCACGCCCAGCUAAUUUUUGUAUUUUUCAUAGAGACGGGGUUUCACCAUGCUGGCCAGGCUGGUCUUGAACUCCUGACCUCAUGGUCCACCCACCUUGGCCUCUCAUAGUGCUGGGAUUACAGGCCUGAGCCACCGUGCCCGGCUGAUCCCUUAUUGAUGCACAUUUAGCUUGUUUCCGUGUUUGGUAAUUACAUGAAAUGUUGCAAUAAAUAACUUUGUACACAUCCCACUUCAAAUGUGUGCUAGCAGACCUGUGGGAAAUUCCCAGGAGUGGAACCGCCGGGUUAGACGUGGCUAUGCACAGUUG